CAGACACAAGAUGUGACAACACUGGAAACAAGAACAUUUCUCUGACCAGACUGCGCUGACUGGUGCAGAGUUCAUCACACACAGAAAAGGAACAGUGGUCUUAUUCAAGUCAGUGAUUGUGUGUAAGCUCCACUGCCUGAAAACCAGACUGCAAAUAAAGUGCAAAGAGAGCAGCAGGGGCCCAGUCGGGAGAUGAGGAAGAGACGGGAGAGCAGAAGCAGCGAACGACUCGAGAUCAAAACGGUAAGAAGAGCAGUGGCAGGAACACGUGCUGAGGACGUGUCCCCGCCCCUCCCACGGCCAACAUCUUUGGGGGCGGACAGCCCCAGCCAGAGCCCCACAAGGAGUGGGGAUUCUCUGCAGGUGACGAGGGGUCUCUGAGCCCGGGGCCCCUGAAUCUCCAACAUACUUUAUCCACUUUGGGAAGCAGCCUCCCAGGGCCCAGGCAGCUCCAACAGAGCCACGAGCCCGGGAAGGACAGGGAGCCCGUCCUGCACUGCACACCAGCUAAACAGCUCUGCACCCUCUGCAGCGCAUAGUCACUCGUGUGUACACAAGCAAUCACACACUUGUGCACAGACACACACCCAUUCACAAAUGCACACUGACACGUGUAUUCACACACACACACUCACAUCCGCACAUUCACACACAAACAUCUGUGCAUUCAUGCAUCUGUACUCAUACCCACACACUCAUCCACACACCCCCUCACACACUCACACACUCAAGCCCUCAUGCAUGUGCAUACAUACUCGCACAUACAUGCCCACACACACCCCACACUCACACAUGCACUCAACAUGUGCGCUCACACACCCAUUCACACACAGGCACGCACAUAUUAAGUAAAGACCCUCCCUAGUGCCCUCCCCAGGUCCUCUCAGGCUGGCCCAGGAAGAGGCUGCGGCUGGGGAUCCAGUCACCCAGAGCGUGAGAUCCGAAACUUGAAAAGGGCACAUUUACACAUCAGCCCCAAGGAGGCCCCUGGUCCUCUGCUCCUCUCCUCCCCUGCAGCACAUGUCACAGUCUCUCAGAACUCCAGGGAUGCAGUCCAAAGGCUGGCAGUCUCCUGGAAGUGGUCCUGGAGGGACACAGUUGGGGUGGAGGAGGGGCCACCAGGACCAGGGGUUUCCAGGCAACUUGGCACAAGGGAGGAAGCCAUCAGUGCCCUUCCAUCUGUGGGAAUCUGCGGGGGGCACGUGGUAGCCCAGGUGCAGCCUCAGGCCUCGGGGUGAGGCAGGCAGAACUCUUCGGCCAGGACCUGGGUGGCUGAGAAGGGCACAUGGU
ensembl:lncRNA